rnacentral:misc_RNA from 1 species
GAUGAAGAACGCGGCGAAAUGCGAUACUUGGUGUGAAUUGCAGAAUCCCGUGAACCAUCGAGUCUUUGAACGCAAGUUGCGCCCGAAGCCAUUAGGCCGAGGGCACGCCUGCCUGGGCGUCACACGUCGUUGCCCCCCCAUCUACUCCUUCGGGAUUGCGGGGGGCGGAUGAUGGCCUCCCGUGCGCCUCGCCGCGCGGUUGGCAUAAAUGCCAAGUCCUCGGCGACGCACGCCACGACAAUCGGUGGUUGCGAAACCUCGGUUGCCCGUCGUGUGCGGUCGUCGCGCAUCGAGGGCUCGAAAAAAUUGCCGGGUUCCGGCUCGGCUUUCAACGCGACCCCAGGUCAGGCGGGGUUACCCGCUGAAUUUAAGCAUAUCAAUAAGCGGAGGA